ensembl:lncRNA
UGGGUAAAAAAAGUACCAAGAAUACAAAAGCAAUGAAAUAAGAGAAUCACUGUACAUGUAAGGGAUCCACAGACAGCAAGAGAGACUAUAUUGUUUGCAGGUGUUGUUGUACCUGCCAGUGGCUAUCCAUCAAAAGCAAUGGGAUUACCAUCGAUAGAAAUUAAACACAAAUAAUACGUGUACAUGGAAGUAGUUCAGGUGCUCAGUAUCUAUUAUGCUUUGAUUUCUGGUGCAGUGACCCGGAGCCUGUUGGAUCAGUGAGGCAGAGAGCGUGAAUUCAAGCAGGCUCAUUGCCAACUUAUUGGUCAGUCAAUAACCUAUUUCAUUUAAUGUCACAGGCAAUGUGGACCAGAAAUGUUGACGAGGGCUUGAAUGUACCUCAGAAGGAGAGGGGCGGUGGGAAGGCAGCCCCCAGGUGCAGGUACCAGAUAAACAACUGCCCUUGAGGACUGUCAUUCCCACAAUGCUGUGCAAACCCUCAGCACUUACCACCACAAUGUGCUGGCCUCAUUGGCCUGGAUCAUGACUUCCUCUGG